UUCGGCGUCACUCACCUUAUGGAGAUCUUGGACACGUGUCUACGGGACUGCUUCCGCCGGAGAGACUGCUGAACCAUAGCCAGCCCGUUGAGUAUUGCCGUCCUGAGAGAUUCCGAGAAUGUUAGCGAAGAGCUCAUUAAAGGACACUGACGGGAC